rnacentral:rRNA from 1 species
AGAGUUUGAUCCUGGCUCAGAUUGAACGCUGGCGGCAGGCUUAACACAUGCAAGUCGAGCGGGGGAGAUUGCUUCGGUAAUUGACCUAGCGGCGGACGGGUGAGUAAUACUUAGGAAUCUGCCUAUUAAUGGGGGACAACAUCUCGAAAGGGAUGCUAAUACCGCAUACGCCCUACGGGGGAAAGCAGGGGAUCACUUGUGACCUUGCGUUAAUAGAUGAGCCUAAGUCGGAUUAGCUAGUUGGUGGGGUAAAGGCCUACCAAGGCGACGAUCUGUAGCGGGUCUGAGAGGAUGAUCCGCCACACUGGGACUGAGACACGGCCCAGACUCCUACGGGAGGCAGCAGUGGGGAAUAUUGGACAAUGGGGGGAACCCUGAUCCAGCCAUGCCGCGUGUGUGAAGAAGGCCUUAUGGCUGUAAAGCACUUUAAGCGAGGAGGAGGCUCUCUUGGUUAAUACCCAAGAAGAGUGGACGUUACUCGCAGAAUAAGCACCGGCUAACUCUGUGCCAGCAGCCGCGGUAAUACAGAGGGUGCGAGCGUUAAUCGGAUUUACUGGGCGUAAAGCGUGCGUAGGCGGCUUUUUAAGUCGGAUGUGAAAUCCUCGAGCUUAACUUGGGAAUUGCAUUCGAUACUGGGAAGCUAGAGUAUGGGAGAGGAUGGUAGAAUUCCAGGUGUAGCGGUGAAAUGCGUAGAGAUCUGGAGGAAUACCGAUGGCGAAGGCAGCCAUCUGGCCUAAUACUGACGCUGAGGUACGAAAGCAUGGGGAGCAAGCAGGAUUAGAUACCCUGGUAGUCC